AUUGAACGCUGGCGGCAGGCCUAACACAUGCAAGUCGAACGAGUGGCGGACGGGUGAGUAAUGUCUGGGAAACUGCCUGAUGGAGGGGGAUAACUACUGGACACGGUAGCUAAUACCGCAUACCAUCAGAUGUGCCCAGAUGGGAUUAGCUUGUUGGUGGGGUAACGGCUCACCAAGGCGACGAUCCCUAGCUGGUCUGAGAGGAUGACCGGCCACACUGGAACUGACACACGUGCCAGACUCAAACGGGAGGCAGCAGUGGGAAAAAUUGCACAAUGGGCGAAGGGCUGAUGCAGCCUACCGGGGUGUAUAAGGAAGUCCUUCGGGUUGUAAAGUACUUUCAGCGGGGAGACGUUACCCACAGAAGAAGCACCGGCUAACACCGGGCCAGCGGCCGCGGUAAUG
rnacentral:rRNA from 1 species